CGGGCUGUAGCUCAGCAGGUAGAGCGCUGCGUUCGGGACGCAGAGGCCGUGGGUUCGAGUCCCGCCAGCCCGA
rnacentral:tRNA from 1 species